UUCUUUUCCACUUGAGCCAUAUUCCAGCUAACAAAUGCUGUCGUCUCCUUUUCUGAAUCCACACUUCAUCAUGCUUCUGCUUUGGAUCAUCAAUACUAUGCCUUGGAUGGAUAUCGCUACUGCUCUUAUCAGCUUUCAAAAGUGGAUGAGAAAUUUCUUAGUUUUCGAUGAGGAUCUGAGGGUUCUAGGUUCCUGGGGACAACUACAUCUCAAAUUAUGAUCAGUAGGGAGAUAGGAGAUACUGGGAUACUCGAACCACAAGUGUUUGAGAUGUAAACUUCUCCUCAAUGUAUUGGUUGCACUGAUCCCACACGACUCUCCCCUUUUGCUAUUGAUGGAUGACAUCUCCAAUUAUCUUUGAAGACUGAUAUUGAUUUUCAUCUACGAUUGUCUACGAAGACUAUGUAUGAUAUCUCUGAUUCUCUAUGGAGACUUGAUAAUAAAUGACGCCUCUGAUUGUCUACAAAGACUAUGUAAUGAAUGAUGUCUAUGAUUGUCAAUGAAGAUUAUGUCAUAAAUGAUCUUCUUAGAUUGUCUACAAAGACUAUGUUGAUUAUGGUAAAGUACACUGAUUGUCUUCAGGGACUUAAUGCAUGAUAUCUCCAAUUGUCUACGGAGACUUGACGAUAAAAUAAUGUUUCCGUUGUAUAUAGAGACUCUGUGAUAAAUGUCGUCUUCAAUUUUCUAUGAAGACUAUGUUUAUUGUCACCU